rnacentral:rRNA from 1 species
ACGUGAUCUGAGUUCAGACCGGAGCAAUCCAGGUCAGUUUCUAUCUAUAAAGGGCUUUUUCUAGUACGAAAGGACCGGAAAAGCAUGGCCUAUACUAAAAGCAAGCCAUCUAAUAUAAUUUAUGACCUUAACUCAAAAAAUAAAGAACCUCCUACCCUCCCUUCAAGAAAAGGA